CUCAAGCCAGCUUUUCUCCCUCCAUUUCUAGCAGUCAGUGGGAAUCGUCCCGCAGAGCGUUGCUCCGUGGGCGCCGCUGCACAUGCCCCUCGGUGGAAGGUUCCGGCGUUACUGCGUGGGAGACGGAGGCCUCAGAGUCCCAGAUGCUGCGCAACGCUCUCGCGGUUGUCGCUACAAAGGGACCGCUGCACAUGGCAGGCCAGCAGAUGCCAACAGACAGCUUUUAAACUUGGGUCGGCGCUCCUGGGGGGCACUUUCGUUGGUUGUUGGACUGGUUGUUAAAAAGUUCCAGCAAGGACAAAGCAAGAGGAGUGGACCGUCCCAGCAGCCACCCGGCGUUUUACAGAGUCAUCUGCUUCCAGACCAUAGAUUGGAUGUUAUUGUUGUUUGUUGUGACAUGGCCUAUCUCCGUGGCCCUGGCUGGCCUGGAUCUCACAAAGAUUCACUGCCACUGCUUCUGAAUAAAGGUUGCUUGCUACCAA